rnacentral:misc_RNA from 1 species
GUAGGUGAACCUGCGGAAGGAUCAUUAUCACGUAAUAAUCCACGUUAUAAACCCUUCUUUGAAUUGUUUUUAAACUAAAUUUCUGGAACAGCUCUGUGCUGGAAUGCUUUUGGAUUGGGAUAUGGAAAUUUUAAUAGAACACUGUCUUAAUUUAUUUUAAGAUUGAAAUGGGAAAAUUAUUGUAAUUUGAGAUCCCAGAGUUCUGUUAAUAGUUCAUAACCAGCAAUUCGUUAGCGUCUAAGAAAUUGUA